CAAAUCAUUCAUGUCAUAGUAUACGGAUCUGCUCCCCCAAAGCCACGGGUGAGAGUACAUGACGACAUAAUUCUUGUAGUGACGAGAUUGACGUUGCACCCAAGUCUUUCCUGCAAUGCGUUAUAUAUCAUUUACCACAUAUAUAAAAUAUAUAUGGUUGAUAUAGCAACUAUUUUGCACCAAUUUCAUCACGUGGACGACGAUACAUUAUUAACACAAUCCACUUCAAUCAAAUUCCAUUGGGUUUGACUAUAUCACCUAUCAUUCAACACCAAAUCCAAACAAAAUAUUUUCACCAAACGACUCAAAAGAACGAGAAUUCUCUGGGUAUGAACGAGAAAUAAAUUAAAAGCAAACUCAUUUAAGCUUAGCAUCCUAAUUUCCAACUAACUGACCACUAAAAUAUGAAGGUUGAAAUUUUAACUUUAAUUAAUAUUUUUUGAAAUGUCUUAGACGAUUGAAAUUUUAUUAAUUGUUGUUAAUUCUGAAUAAUAAUAAUCGAUUAGAAUUUUCUGUAUGAAGGAGGCGUAGGACUCCCGUCCUUUUCCGGAUCAAAGCCUCCGCCUCGAGCCGAAGGCAGCGCACGGCCUCCCUCCCUGCGCGUGUGACGCAUGAAAGCCUGAGGGGACGAGGACGCUUUCCCCUGCUGUUACUGGACGAACCCCGUUCCUACCGGCCGGAUGAUCGGCAGCAACAACGCGGCCCGUUUUAGGCCCCACCUGACUGGCCGUUAUAUAUGCGAGACGCGGUAAAGGUAGGUGAAAGAAUGUAGACUGCUCCUAUGUAGCUGAGUUCGCCUUGUUGGAUCGAGGGAGAAGUCCACGGAUCACCCGUCUCAUCCAAAACAGGGAACAAGGUUUCCCAUGGUACUAAUGGUGGGCCUGAAGGUCGGAGUUGUGGGGUCUAUUGUUACAUGGGAGAGAACGUACCUUCCUUCUCGGUCAAGAGACGGAGCCGUGGCCUGGGAGCGAUGUCGUCAUUAGGACGGUCGAGUAAGCUUUAAAUGCUCUGAUAAAGCGGGAGGUCGG
rnacentral:lncRNA from 1 species